AGAGUCGGCGACGCCGCCAGC
rnacentral:miRNA from 1 species